rnacentral:rRNA from 1 species
CAGCCGCCACGGUAAUACGAAGGGGGCUAGCGUUAAUCGGAAUUACUGGGCGUAAAGCGUGCGCAGGCGGUUUUGUAAGACAGUUGUGAAAUCCCCGGGCUCAACCUGGGAACUGCAUCUUAUACUGGGUAACUGGAGUGCAGUAGAGGGUAGUGGAAUUUCCGGUGUAGCGGUGAAAUGCGUAGAUAUCGGAAGGAACACCAGUGGCGAAGGCGGCUACCUGGACUGAGACUGACACUGAGGCGCGAGAGCGUGGGGAGCAAACAGGAUUAGAUACCCCAGUAGUCCCUGUCUCUUAUAC